rnacentral:tRNA from 1 species
GUCGGGAAGCUCAGUGGUGGAGCGCCCGGCUCGAGACCGGGUGGACGCAGGUUCGAGCCCUGCCCCGACCG